UAAUACGUAGGGAGCAAACGUUGUCCGGAUUUAUUGGGCGUAAAGGGCUCGUAGGCGGUUCAACAAGUCGGUCGUGAAAACUCGGGGCUCAACUCCGAGACGCCGGCCGAAACUGUUGUGACUAGAGUUCGGUAGAGGUGAGUGGAAUUCUCGGUGUAGCGGUGGAAUGCGCAGAUAUCGAGAGGAACACCAUUAGCGAAGGCGGCUCACUGGGCCGAUACUGACGCUGAGGAGCGAAAGCGUGGGGAGCAAACAGGAUUAGAUACCCUGGUAGUCCACGCCGUAAACGAUGAGCACUAGGUGUGGCGGACUGAUUCACGUCUGCUGUGCCGCAGCUAACGCAUUAAGUGUUCCGCCUGGGGAGUACGGCCGCAAGGCUA
rnacentral:rRNA from 1 species